rfam:Bacteroides stercoris CC31F genomic scaffold acTTc-supercont1.2, whole genome shotgun sequence.
UCAGGUGACUAUAGCACUGAGGUUCCACCUCUUCCCAUUCCGAACAGAGAAGUUAAGUUCAUUUGUCUGCCUUGCCUUGU